UCCUUUUAGUCUAGCCACAAUUUUUACACAAAAAUUUGAUGUUUUGACUUGAUACAGUGGUCAACAAUUUGGUGGAGUAACAACGAUCUAAUAAAUUGAUUAUCAUUGGUUACCCUUCGGUUACAUUUUCAAUUGAUAAUUUCACCCUUGAGAGUUACAUAAAAAUCAGAGAGGAGGUGCCACUAGUCUAUCUGGAUAAUAUCUAAAUAAAUGUAGUCUUUUCAUCGUUUCAAAAGCUGAUUACAAUUGUAAAUUGUUUUGUUAAAUAUUCAUUUGUGAUUGAAAUAUUGUUAUCAUAUUAUCAACUGUCUUGAGUUAUCAGAUUAACGAUGAAAUUGAUGGAAAAAGACUAUCAAAUGGUAAUAAUGAUUGAGAAACAAUUUGUAUUCUCUUCGAACCAGACUUGUCUAAAUGCUUGUUUACUGGACUCCAACAGAGACGGUUUAAACAAUCACAGUAAAAUGAAAAGAUUGGUAUAAGAUUCCCCAAUAUUCAAUGGACCAUGGCAUCGAUUUUUAACGGAUAACCUGUUGAUUUCUGGUUUGCCAUCUUAUUAUUUCAUCUCUAACACUUUAAUAAUGAAGAAAGUCAAAUAUUAUCCUUCUACAAACCAUAAACAAACAUUUAAAUCAAACAACAUCAAUAUUCAAACAUGGAAUGAAUCAAAUUAUGAAAGGCCUGAACCUUGAAUCGGUGAAAAAAAGUCAUGAUAUCCUAAUUAACUGUGAUAGGAAAUCGUCCAAAUCAGAGUCAACUUUCGCUGGCGCAAUCAUCAUUAAACACAAAACAACUACAUGAUGUGAUUUCAUCUUAAUCUAUUGGCAAAGUUGAGCUAUUACCUAUUAUACUUCCGGAAUUCAAAAUCAUCAUUUAAUUAAGUUAAAUCGGCUUCCAUUUUAUAGAAGCAUUGUGUAACUUCAUUGCGGCAAACAAUUGUUAAGGAUUAAUCAAGUGACCGUCUGAUCGCACAAUGAAGUAACCUUAUUUUAAUGAACACUAAUAGAUUGGAUUCAUAAAGCAAGUCUUGUCAUACAACUUAGGAUUGGCUAUAAUCUGCAAAAACAACACAAUUUGAGCUACUUUACAACAAUUUUAUGAAGCUGCAUUUCAAUAGUAGCAAACUAUCGAUGACAAUGCACCGACGGGAAAACGAUUGAUUGAUCAAUGAUGGUCGCAAAUCAUUUUACUUGUUAGUCAAAUGGCCGAAAUUCAACAAAAAAUUAGCAUUUAUCCUUUUGAUAUGAUUUAAUUUGCUCUACUACAGUUUGAAGUUGCAUGUCAAUACAUGUAGUUACAUUUAGCAGAUUCAUUUGUGACUUGCCGUUUUAAAAUCGGAUUAUGUUUUGAUUAAUGAGAGCCAACCAUCACCAUGAUAAAGGAUGUUACCACUCAAGGCUUAUGGUUUAAUUUCAUGAUUGGGAUUGGCUUCAAGUCACUUCGGUUGGUCACAUUAAUUAAUUAAAAGAAAUAGUGAAUCCGUGUAGGUGUUUCUUAUCGUCAUUAAAGUAUUCAUGGCUGUCCCAUCAUCAAUUGGAAUGGAAA